UGGGCAAAUACAUGGAAUGGAGAG
rnacentral:piRNA from 2 species